rnacentral:rRNA from 1 species
AAGCACUUNNNCGNGGAGGNAAAGGUUGGCAGCUAAUNUNUNUCANNUGUGACGUUACUCNCNNNAGAAGCACCGGCUAAANUCCGUNCCAGCAGCCNCGGUAAUNCGGAGGGUGCAAGCGUUAAUCGGAAUUACUGGGCGUAAAGCGCACGCAGGGGUUGGAUAAGUUAGAUGUGAAAGCCCCGGGCUCAACNNGGNAAUUNCNUUUAAANNNGUUCAGCUAGAGUCUUGUAGAGGGGGGUAGAAUUCCAGGUGUAGCGGNGAAAUGCGUAGAGAUCUGGAGGAAUACCGGUGGCGAAGGCGGCCCCCUGGACAAAGACUGACGCUCAGGUGCGAAAGCGUGGGGAGCAAACAGGAUUAGAUACCCUGGUAGUCCACGCCGUAAACGAUGUCGAUUUGGAGGCUGUGUCCUUGAGACGUGGCUUCCGGAGCUAACGCGUUAAAUCGACGCCUGGGGAGUACGGCCGCAAGGUUAAAACUCAAAUGAAUUGACGGGGGCCCGCACAAGCGGUGGAGCAUGUGGUUUAAUUCGAUGCAACGCGAAGAACCUUACCUGGCCUUGACAUGUCNGGAANCCNGUAGAGAUACGGGAGUGCCUUCGGGAAUCAGAACACAGGUGCUGCAUG